rnacentral:tRNA from 1 species
GGUAUGGCGAAAUUGGUAGACGCUGCGGACUUAAA